ACUCUCACCAGAAACCCACCCUGCUGGGCCUGGAUCUUGGACUUCCAGCCUCCAGAACUAUUUAGUGAUGGUGACGGGAUCCGAAGGAAACAUCUGAUGGCUCUGAGGACAACACGAGACACAGGGAAGGACACUUUGAGAGCAUCUUUCCCGCCGUCGCAAGGGCCGUGGAUCCUAACUGACACAGAUGAAGUUAGGAAAAAGAGACAAGAAU